UUUCCCUCGGCCACAAACUCCCCGAGUCCAGACUUGCUACAUAGCACCUGCAAAGUUAGGCUUACUUCAGUUCUCCACACUCCUCCAUCAUGAUGCGUGUUACCCUUCUCGUCUGCACUGUUCUUUUCGCCAUCAUCUCAACAUCCAACGCCAACUGGUACGGCAAGAGGGGAGAGAAGGAAGACCUUGUCGGAAACUUCCUUCGUCAUCGUUUCGAGGGAAUGCCCCUGAAUGACGCUGAAGCCACGUUAGCUGCUAUCGGCCAGCUGUACAAGGACUGGGAGAGCAGGAAGGCCGCCCCAAUCGUCAACAGAGCCGCACGGAGAUAGACCCAUAUACCACCCAGUACUGCAUCAUACAAAGGCCUUGUGAUAUUCUAUUGACCCUAGAGACAAUGCUGUUUCCACAUGAUUGAACCAGUGCUCAACCUCCAUCCACACUCUUCGGCCUAGGCGACACUGAGGAGACGACGACAUUGACCCUUCCCUCAAACAUUCAGUCGAAGGUGUUUGCUUCAACAAAAUGAACACAACUACACAGUAAUACUGGUUGACGCACAUGCGGGACACUAUCUGUCGCGGCGGUGGCGGCAUCUACAACUUUAAUAAAGCUAAAAUUUUGACCUCUCGCUUUGGCAAUAUGUUACACAUGAUUUAAGGACCCAUGAAGAAAGCAUCGUAUCUACGAGGAGGGUAGAACGGACACCAGUUCAUUGUGAUGACCGCUGCCGCCUCCAGUAGACCCAGUCAAUAUACAACAUAUAGCACACUGUUUUAGAUGACAAAGGCACACAUAUUUUUAUCAAGUGUUACAAGUCCAGGAACAUCGCCGACGGGGAUUUAUGCAAGACUGUACAUGUAUAUUUUGUUCGGAAGCUGGUGUGUCAGGCAUUUUGCAAAGGGGACUCAAUGAAAUAAUAAAAAUUCAAAUUUA